UACCAAACAAGCUUCUCUGCUAUUAAUGGGGAGUCGUGUGGCACAUAGUGAGGCCCUGGGAAGGCGAAUGAAAACAGUGAACUGGCAUAACCCCUGAACCAUUGACUCAUAUUACAUCACAGGAGCCUUCAAAGCUACUGCCCACAUCUGAUUCAUUUGCCACACGAGAAUUAUCUGUUUUUGUGGGAGAAUUCCCUCUGUGCUUCCAUAAAAAAGCAUGAUGAGGUCCAAGAAUUCUCCUUCCUGCCAGCCCAGCUUCAUCAGGAAGGCUUAAGAAGACCCAUCUUGAAAUCCUCACUGUGAACACCAUGGAGUGUAAUGAGAAAUCCAAAACAGGGCCGGUCUCUGAUGUGUGUGAACUUCAUGACAGAGGCUACAGAGGAACUGAACAGCACUGCAGUCAUUCUUACUGCAGCCACACUCAUAUAAAUCAAGAGUAAAUAAUAAAAAAUUAAUAGAACUA